rnacentral:rRNA from 1 species
GACAGAGGGUGCAAACGUUGUUCGGAAUUACUGGGCGUAAAGCGCGUGUAGGCGGCCCUGCAAGUCGGGUGUGAAAUCCCACGGCUCAACCGUGGAAGUGCACUCGAAACUGCAGGGCUAGAGUCCUGGAGAGGAAGGUGGAAUGCUUGGUGUAGAGGUGAAAUUCGUAGAUAUCAAGCGGAACACCGGUGGCGAAGGCGGCCUUCUGGACAGUGACUGACGCUGAGACGCGAAAGCGUGGGGAGCAAACAGG